rnacentral:rRNA from 1 species
UACGUAGGGGGCAAGCGUUGUCCGGAUUUACUGGGCGUAAAGAGCGCGUAGGCGGAAAUUUAAGCGUGGCCUGAAAGCCCCCGGCUCAACCGGGGAGUGCGGCUGCGAACUGGGUUUCUUGAGGACGAUAGAGGAGAGUGGAAUUCCUGGUGUAGCGGUGAAAUGCGUAGAUAUCAGGAGGAACACCCGAGGCGAAGGCGGCUCUCUGGGCUAUAACUGACGCUCAUGCACGAAAGCGUGGGGAGCAAACAGG